AGGCCUUUGCCACGUGUUGCAAAUAUAUUUUUUUCACUCUUUAAUGUAGUACUUCACUUUAUGAUCUUUUUAUCAAAUCAGUUUGGAAAUGGAAUAACUGAUCUUCACUGAGUUAAAAUGCCUCUUCCAUCAUACAAUAAAUUCCUAUACAUAUUAAGUAAGGUCUAUUGCUGGACUCUGUAUUGUCCGGUAAUCCAUCUAUAGCUAAAACAGAUUCAAAGUAUUUUACUUACAGUAAUUUUAACAUAUUUCUCUUAUUUAGUAGGAUUAGCUACCCUUCACUGCACAGCUAUCCUAUUUUUUUCCUAGCUAUUUCCAGAUAUUUAUUCCUCUAAACAAAAUGUAACACAACAUUGUCAGUUUCUAAAAAAAGAAAAAUCCUUCAGAAAUCUUCAUUGGUAGUUCAUUGAAUGUUUCUUACUGCUAAAAUCAAAUAGCCAUUUAACUCACAAUUUAGAUACAGAAGUACUAUUAACAUUGAUUAUAUUUGUCUUGUUAUGAGAUAUUCAUAUAAAGUGCAAAUAAUUUACACAUUCCUUUCUCUUAUCUCACUGCAUUGGCUAAUAGACACUGUCCCCUUUGCCUCCUAGUCUAAUAAAAAAGAAUAAAAAGCUAAAAAUUACAAGUUUGUUCCUGACUUUAAUGGGAAUUCUUCAAGUUUUCUUUUUGUUUUGUUUUGUUUUUAGGGCCACACUUGCAGCACAUGGAUAUUCCCAGGCUAGGGAUCUAAUCGGAGGUGUAGCUGUGGCCUACACCACAGCCACAGCAACACAGGAUCCGAGCCGUGUCUGCAACCUACAUCACAGCUCACAGCAACGCCAGAUCCUUAACCCACUGAGCAAGGCCAGGGAUUGAACCCGAAAACUCAUGGUUCCUAGUGGGAUUCAUUUCCGCUGCGCCACGACAGGAACUCCCAGGAAUUCUUCAAAUAUUUUAAACAUAACUCUGUGUAAACAUAACAAUGAUACUUAGUUCGUGAUAAAUACUUUUAUCAUGUUAAGUACAUAAGUAACUUCUCCUACUGUAUCAAACUUUUUUCAAAUUAUAAAGCUGUUGCAUUUUAUCAAAGACCUUUUGAUAAUAUAUUUGAGAUAAUGAGGGUUUUUUUCCCUUUUUAUGUGGCAUCUUAAAAAAAUCAAAAUGGAAUGCAUUCACUAUAUUUCACUUAUCUACCUAAUUAUAGUCCUCCCCAAAACCUAUGCAUAUUAUUUAAGCACAUUUUCCCUGGCAACAAUGUGCUGCCUUUCCACCAAAUGAUGUGUAUCUAAAUAAAUUUCUGUGGUUUGUUUAUUAAUAUAAACCACACCAACUUCCCUGGUAAAGAAAUGGGAACAGAAAUUCUACAAUGUAAAAAAUGGAAUCAAUAUAUUCAUGUCAUACAAAUCAAGAUCUCUCAAAUUCUUUGGUAGGGAACUCAUUAUCCCAUGAGAUGAUAAAAAAUGCCCUCAAAUCACCUAAGAUUUAGAAACAAUGAGUUAACUAAAGUUAAUCAAUUUAUCUACUAUUGGAUAUUUCAGAAUAUUUCCUACGCUUGUAUUUUAAAGUUAAUGUGCACUGUGUUUCUUCAGUGGAGGUGUGUGUGGGGGGGUACACAGCAUGCAAAAUUUCCCAGUUAUUUGGCCAAGACAUAUCCUUCAUCCAUGUACAACAAAACCCAUGUCAGCGGGCACUGGCAUCAAAAUAUACUGUUGGUAGAGCUGUCCAGCCAACCUGACUGCUCUUGUUGCCACUGGUAACCAAGACAUCUCCCAAAAGAAGCCUCUGUCCCACAAGUGAGAAUGAGGCUGACCCACUGAGAGAAGAAGAGGUAAGAAAAAGACAAAUAUCCUAGUACCAUUCUCAUCUCUAAUUAUCUUGAGCUUCACUCCUAUUCAAACUGGCCCCGGGUAUACAGACAAUAGGAAGAAAGCAGCAGUUCUCAUACUGUGCUUAAAGGACUCCCUGAUGACACUGGGACCCUUUCCAGGGUACAUACAAGGUCAAAACUGUUCUCAUAAUAAUAAUAAGAUAUUACUUCUUCACACACAAUCCUCUCACAAAUCUCUGGUGAAGUUUUCCAGAGGCUACAUGACCUGAGAUGAACUAUCACACUGAUGGUAAAUGAAGUGAGCGCCCUUGUAUAUGCUUGUAUUUUUAAAGUUGCUCAAUUUUUUAUUUAUUUAUUCACCACAUCCACACAGAAUGCAGAAGUUCUCAGGCCAGGGAUUGAUACCACACCACAGCACUGACCCGCACCACACUGGAUCCUUAACCCACUGAGCCACCAGAGAAUGCCCUGUUAUUCUAAUUUACUUUUCAUCAUUAAGGGUCUUUUCCUUGUCUUUAACCAUUAAAACUGCCAUAUUUUAUUUGUUUUUAUUUUAUUGAAGUAUAGUUGGUUUACAAUGUUGUGUUAAUUUUGCUAUAUGGCAAAAUGAUUCAGUUAUGCAUAUAUGUAUAUAUGCAUACUUUUCAAUAUUCUUUUCCAUUAUGGCUUAUCAUAGGAUAUUGAAUAUAGUACUCUGUGCUAUACAUAUGACAUUUUGUUUAAAACUGCUAUAUUUUGGGAGUUCCCGUCGUGGCACAGUGGUUAACGAAUCUGACUAGAAACCAUGAGGUUGCGGGUUCGAUCCCUGCCCUUGCUCAGUGGGUUAACGAUCCGGCAUUGCCGUGAGCUGUGGCCAGGAGCUGCUGCUCCAGUUCGACCCCUAGCCUGGGAACUUCUAUAUGCCAUGGGUGCUACCCUAAAAUGACCAAAGGAAAAAAAAGAAAAAGAAAAUAGCUCUUGUUUCUAGUUCUGUGACUUUGCAUAAUUCUGUGCCCAUAUAAACACAGCCAAUAAAAAAUUCCACUUAAAAAUCUCCAUGAAUGUAUACAUGGUACAACUUCACAACUAACAGUAUUCUUUUUUUUUCCCUUCUCCAUUCAUACUGUUUUAUGAUUUGUCUCUCCCACUACAGUUUAUCACAGGAUAUUGAAUAUAGUUCCCUGUGCUAUGCAGUAGGACCUUAGUGUCUAUCAAUUCUAUAUAUAAUGGUUUGCAUCUGCUAAUCCCAAACUUCAAAUCCAUCCCUCCCCCACCCAAUUCUGACUUGGCAAACACAAGUCUGUUCUCUAUAUAACUGACAAUAUUCUUUAACAAGACAGUUUUUAAAAAAAAUGGAAAGAGGAGUUCCCUUCAU
rnacentral:lncRNA from 1 species